ACAUCCAAGGAAGGCAGCAGGCGCGCAAAUUACCCAAUCCCGACACGGGGAGGUAGUGACAAUAAAUACUGAUACAGGGCUCUUUUGGGUCUUGUAAUUGGAAUGAGUACAAUUUAAAUCCCUUAACGAGGAACAAUUGGAGGGCAAGUCUGGUGCCAGCAGCCGCGGUAAUUCCAGCUCCAAUAGCGUAUAUUAAAGUUGUUGCAGUUAAAAAGCUCGUAGUUGAACCUUGGGCCUGGCUGGCCGGUCCGCCUCACCGCGUGUACUGGUCCGGCCGGGCCUUUCCUUCUGGGGAACCUCAUGCCCUUCACUGGGCGUGUUGGGGAACCAGGACUUUUACUUUGAAAAAAUUAGAGUGUUCAAAGCAGGCCUUUGCUCGAAUACAUUAGCAUGGAAUAAUAGAAUAGGACGUGUGGUUCUAUUUUGUUGGUUUCUAGGACGCCGUAAUGAUUAAUAGGGAUAGUCGG
rnacentral:rRNA from 1 species